rnacentral:rRNA from 1 species
CGCUNGGUAAAGCAUGCUUAGACAGUGGCCCNAGCUCAACGCAUUAAGCAUCCCCGCNUGGGGAGUACGGCCGNAAGGUNGAAAACUCAAAGGAAUUGACCGGGGGCCCGCACAAGCGGUGGAGNCAUGUGGUUUAAUUCGACGCAACGCGCAGAACCUUACCCAGGGUUUGACAUCCCGAGCUAAGCCCAGAGAUGGGUGGUCCCCGCAAGGGGCGCCGGAGAACAGGUGCUGCAUGGCCUGUCGUCAGCUCGUGUCGUGAGAUGUUGGGUUAAGUCCCGCAACGAGCGCAACCCUCGCCUUUAGUUGCCAUCAUUAAGUUGGGCACUCUAAAGGGACCGCCGGCGACAAGCCGGAGGAAGGUGGGGAUGACGUCAAGUCCUCAUGGCCCUUACACCCUGGGCUACACACGUGCUACAAUGGCGGUGACAGUGGGCAGCGACCACGCGAGUGGAUGCGAAUCCCAAAAAACCGUCCCAGUUCAGAUUGCACUCUGCAACUCGGGUGCAUGAAGGUGGAAUCGCUAGUAAUCGCAGAACAGCAGGCUGCGGUGAAUACGUUCCCGGGCCUUGUACACACCGCCCGUCACACCAUGGGAGUUGGUUCUACCUGAAGACGGUGCGCUAACCGCAAGGAGGCAGCCGGCCACGGUAGGGUCAGCGACUGGGGUGAAGUCGUAANCAAGGUACC